UUACGCUGUUAUCCCUUAGGUAAUUUAGUCUUCUAAUCAAUAAGAAUGGAUCAAAAAAUUAUAAAUUAAUAUAUAAAUAAAAGAAAGAGUUUAUUAAUUCAUUUCUAUCACCCCAACAAAAUAAAUUUUUAUAUAAAAAUUUUAUAACCAACAUAAAAAAUAAUUAAAUUUAUUAAACUCUAUAGGGUCUUCUCGUCCCAUAAAAAAAUUUAAGCAUUUUAACUUAAAAUUUAAAUUCAACCAUCAUUAUUAAGAAACAGUAUAUUCCUCGUCCAACCAUUCAUUCUAGUCCCCAAUUAAAAGACUAAUGAUUAUGCUACCUUUGCACGGUCAAAAUACCGCGGCCCUUCAAAAUUAUAUCAGUGGGCAGGUUAUACUUCAUAAUUUAUAAACCAGAAGAGAUGUUUUUGAUAAACAGGCG
rnacentral:rRNA from 1 species